CAGUCGCCGCGGUAACACCAGCAGCCCAAGUGGUGGUCGCGCUUAUUGGGCCUAAAGCGCUCGUAGCCUGGCCGGUAAGUUCCCCGUGAAAUCGGGUCGCCCAACGAUUCGGCUUGCGGGGAAUACUGUCGGUCUUGGGGCCGGGAGACGCCGAGGGUACUCCGGGGGUAGCGGUGAAAUGCUGUAAUCCUCGGGGGACUACCAGUGGCGAAGGCGCUCGGCGAUAACGGGCCUGACGGUGAGGGGCGAAAGCUGGGGGCGCGAACGGGAUUAGAUACCCGCGUAGUCCCUGUCUCUUAUU
rnacentral:rRNA from 1 species